rnacentral:rRNA from 1 species
CAGUCGCCGCGGUAAUGCGAGGGGGGCAAGCGUUGUUCGGAUUUAUUGGGCGUAAAGGGUGCGUAGGCGGUUUGGCAAGUCUUGUGUGAAAUCUUCGGGCUCAACCCGAAGCCUGCACGAGAAACUACCGGGCUUGAGUAUUGGAGAGGUGAGUGGAAUUUCCGGUGUAGCGGUGAAAUGCGUAGAUAUCGGAAGGAACACCUGUGGCGAAAGCGGCUCACUGGACAAUAACUGACGCUGAUGCACGAAAGCUAGGGGAGCAAACAGGAUUAGAUACCCCCGUAGUCCCUGUCUCUUAUAC